rnacentral:rRNA from 1 species
UGAACGCUGGCGGCGUGCCUAAUACAUGCACGUCGAGCGAACAGACGAGGAGCUUGCUCCUCUGACGUUAGCGGCGGACGGGUGAGUAACACGUGGAUAACCUACCUAUAAGACUGGGAUAACUUCGGGAAACCGGAGCUAAUACCGGAUAAUAUAUUGAACCGCAUGGUUCAAUAGUGAAAGACGGUUUUGUUGCCCUUAAUUGAUGGUCCCGCGCCGCAUUAGCUAGUUGGUAAGGUAACGGCUUACCAAGGCAACGAUGCGUAGCCGACCUGAGAGGGUGAUCGGCCACACUGGAACUGAGACACGGUCCAGACUCCUACGGGAGGCAGCAGUAGGGAAUCUUCCGCAAUGGGCGAAAGCCUGACGGAGCAACGCCGCGUGAGUGAUGAAGGUCUUCGGAUCGUAAAACUCUGUUAUUAGGGAAGAACAAAUGUGUAAGUAACUAUGCACGUCUUGACGGUACCUAAUCAGAAAGCCACGGCUAACUACGUG